rnacentral:tRNA from 1 species
GGUCUUAUAUUCAACAAUGAUAUUAAAAUGCAAUUUUAAAGGUGUAUGGAUUACUAAGACUU